GAUAAGUUGUUGAUCUUCCUGGUUGUCUGCCUGGCGGCUCAGCCCCUUCUGGCCUCGCCCCUGCUCAAGAAGCAUCUCAGGGGGCUGCUGGAUAACAUUGACUUCGGCAACAUGGGGAUGAUCUGCACGUGCGAGAUCCGUUGCUGUCCCGCCAAGCCGAGCAAGCGGUUCGUCCAGAGGAGAAGUCUCCCCAAGUCCAUCAACAAUGCUCAGCUCAGCUCAACAAGAUGCUGCGGCUGUACCGACUGUGGAGCCAACGGAAUUCUGUUCCCUGGGCCAAUCGGAAAAUAGAUGGCGACACCUGACGCAGUAUGGCGGACAGGCGACUUCCGGUUUAUCCGUGACGAUGUUUCUUUGACAAAACUUCAGUGUAAAUUUAUUGUACAAUAAAAAAGUAGAUUUUAGUUUAUUCA